UUGACCAGCGCUGUAUAAAAAUGAAAGUGGAGGAAGAAUACCUACAACUCCUGCCUUGUAGCAAAUGACAUUCUUGGAAAUUUGUCCUUCUCAGCCAGCCGAUCCCUCUUCCCCGGAGCCCUCGCUGUUUCACAUCUCCGGCUCCAAGGGCUGCCUGGAUUAGUGUAUAAAAUGAAGCAAUGAAAUGAUUCCCUUUGUGAUGCAUCCUUAUUGGAAUUGGGGGAGUGGAGCAUUACAACACAAGCCUGGAUGGCCACAGAGCCAUCUUCCACCAACCGGCCUGUAGAAAGAACAAGGGAGAGAAGAAGACACCAGACCUGCUCCAGUUGACUAUCCCCCUCUUCCACCAACUGCCCUGUGAGAAAGAGCAAGAGAGGGAAAUGAAAAAGACAACAUCAGAGCCCACUUUAGCUCCAGCUAAAUGGCCCCUUCUUUCUCUCCCUGCAUCAACUGACUCCAACAGCCCUGCGGGAAGGAUCCUGAUAUAUUGGCAGAUGCUGAAGUUGCCUUAUUUUAUCUUGAUUGUAUUUGCAAGCCACCUUGGAAGGAUUUGGAUCCUGAAAGGCAGGAUAUACUUCACACCAGGGGGGAGCUCAGUACGCCACCUGAGCACCACAUGCAGCCCUGACCCCACCCCAAGCUGCAUUUUUUUUUUUUUUGCAUCCCUGCCCCCUGCAGCAUUUGCCACUCAAGCCUUCAUCCCACGUUCACUUUUAUUGUGGUUCUCCCUCGAAUUAUCCUACUUCGUUUAUAUAGUGCUUAUAUAUCAUAUGAAAACUUGCAAACUUA